rnacentral:lncRNA from 1 species
UAUUACAAAAGAACGGAAACGGGAACGGAGAAACAGCUUUUGCUACUAAUUAGAAAAUGAUAAUCUGCAAUUUCUGUAAACGAGCUGGACACACUAAGUCAAAAUGCUUUAAGCUGAUAAGAGAAAGAAAGAAGCAGAAAGAGGACACAUCUGCUGCAUCUGUAUUAGCUGCAUUUUCCUCUGAUGACUGGAUAGUUGAUUCAGGGUGUACAACUCAUAUGUGCAAGAAUAAACAAUGAAUACACAAGUUAAUCGUCAGUGUUCCGGAAUGGUAGGUGGCAAUACAACGGAGGCUGCAUAUGCUGUGUCAUCUGAGUUAUGGCACAAACGGCUUGGACAUUUGAGCUAUAAAGGUAUGUGUGCACUUCGUGAUAAGCUUGCUGAUGGUGUACAUUUUUCCAAUGUUGGCAACGUGAAAGACUGUGAGUCUUGCAUUAAGGGGAAGCAAGCAAUGCUUUCUUUUCCCAAGGGUAAGGCCAAGAGAGCUCAUAGAUGUCUCGAGUUAAUACACUCCGAUGUCUGUGGUCCUAUGUCGGAAAGCAGCUGGGGAGGUCAUAAAUAUCUUCUUACAUUCACUGAUGAUUAUUCUAGAAAGACAUGUGGAUACUUA